rnacentral:rRNA from 1 species
UACGAAGGUCCCAAGCGUUAUCCGGAUUUAUUGGGUUUAAAGGGUGCGUAGGCGGUUUAUUAAGUCAGUGGUGAAAGCCUGCAGCUUAACUGCAGAAUUGCCAUUGAUACUGAUGAUCUUGAGUAUGAUUGAGGUGGGCGGAAUGUGUCAUGUAGCGGUGAAAUGCUUAGAUAUGACACAGAACACCGAUUGCGAAGGCAGCUCACUAAGCCAUAACUGACGCUGAUGCACGAAAGCGUGGGGAGCAAACAGG